rnacentral:rRNA from 1 species
GACAGAGGGUGCAAACGUUGUUCGGAAUUACUGGGCGUAAAGCGUGUGUAGGCGGCUACAUAAGUCGGAUGUGAAAGCCCCGGGCUCAACCCGGGAAGUGCACUCGAUACUGCGUAGCUUGAGUCUCGGAGAGGUUGGUGGAAUUCUCGGUGUAGAGGUGAAAUUCGUAGAUAUCGAGAGGAACACCGGUGGCGAAGGCGGCCAACUGGACGAAGACUGACGCUGAGACACGAAAGCGUGGGGAGCGAACGGG